GAUGAACGCUGGCGGCGUGCUUAACACAUGCAAGUCGAACGAUGAACCGGGUGCUUGCACUCGGGGAUUAGUGGCGAACGGGUGAGUAACACGUGAGCAACCUGCCCCUGACUCUGGGAUAAGCGCUGGAGACGGCGUCUAAUACUGGAUAUGUCCCGUCACCGCAUGGUGUGCGGGUGGAAAGAUUUUUCGGUUGGGGAUGGGCUCGCGGCCUAUCAGCUUGUUGGUGAGGUAAUGGCUCACCAAGGCGUCGACGGGUAGCCGGCCUGAGAGGGUAACCGGCCACACUGGGACUGAGACACGGCCCAGACUCCUACGGGAGGCAGCAGUGGGGAAUAUUGCACAAUGGGCGGAAGCCUGAUGCAGCAACGCCGCGUGAGGGAUGACGGCCUUCGGGUUGUAAACCUCUUUUAGCAGGGAAGAAGCGAGAGUGACGGUACCUGCAGAAAAAGCACCGGCUAACUACGUGCCAGCCGCCACCGUAA
rnacentral:rRNA from 1 species